rnacentral:rRNA from 1 species
UGCAACUACAACGUAUAGGAGGUCUUGCCUGCCCAGUGACAUGUUAAACGGCCGCGGUAUUUUGACCGUGCGAAGGUAGCGCAAUCACUUGUCUUUUAAAUGAAGACCUGUAUGAAUGGUGGAACGAGGGCUUAACUGUCUCCCUUUUCAAGUCAAUGAAAUUGAUCUGCCCGUGCAGAAGCGGACAUAAAGAUACAAGACGAGAAGACCCUUUGGAGCUUAAGACAAAAAUCACCUAUGUCAAGAACACAAAAACUUAAACUAAAUAGUAACUGAUUUCUAGUCUUCGGUUGGGGCGACCACGGGAGAAAAUAAAGCUCCCACGCAGACAUGGGAUUAAUCCUAAAGCCACGAAAGACAUCUCUAAGCAUCAGAACAUCUGACCUAAAGAUCCGGCCUUACGCCGAUCAACGGACCAAGUUACCCUAGGGAUAACAGCGCAAUCCCCUUCCAGAGUCCAUAUCGACAAGGGGGUUUACGACCUCGAUGUUGGAUCAGGACAUCCUAAUGGUGCAGCCGCUAUUAAGGGUUCG